ACAGAUGUCAACACCAGCGCAUGCCAUAAAGUUCUUCAACAAAUGAAUUGAUCAGGACAUGAACUUCUGAUAUUUCACAAUUCUAAAUAAAGGAACCCUCCAAAUUCUCAACUACAAAAUCUGGGACAACAUAAAUUAUACAACCACACGCACAAUUCAGCCAGCUACCUUUAUUGAACCAAUCUCAUCUAGCUUUGAGCUCCUGUGCUUGCUUUUCUUGUGUUUGUGGACACCGUUAAGAUCCUCCUCGUCAUGCUUCCUUUUCUUUUCAUGUUUCUUUGAAUGCUCAGCACCAGGAUCAUUGUGGCCACUUUUAUCUUUCUUUUUCUCUUUGUCCUUGUCUUUACUCCGAUCUUUAUGACGAUGUUUGUGCUUCUUAUGCUCUUUGUCCUUCUCCUUGUCUUUAUCCUUGUGUUUUUUAUGCUUCUUCUCCUUCUUCUCCUUGUCUUUCAUCUCGCUCUUAGAUUUUCCAGCUAUAGUGGGGGUGCCUUUGUCAGAAGGAGACAAAUUGACUGGAGCCGUUUCACGUAGUUGGAAGGCUUCUCUAAGGACAUCUAAGUCAAAGGGCCGGAUACAUGAACUUGUCUCUCUUGAAAAGGAAGUAUCCUGCGUGAGCUGAUCCAACUGCAUCUUCUCACCUUUCCUAAUUUCGGUGUCUCCAACCACAUUAUGAAGAUAAUGUGUAUCGGAAAUUGACAAUGGAAGCGACCUCUUACCAAAGAACUCAUAAUGAGGCAACAAUUUGAAGUGACUAAUAAGAUCGCGAGCACCUGUGAGUUCUCUUGGCCCUCUUCCAAAAUUCUUGCUAUCUGGAUCCAUCAAUCAGCACCAAGUAUAUAAAUAGAGCAUUAUUUCUCGAUCAAACUGAUGAGUAUCCAAUCCAAUUGAAGAACGAAGCUCGUCUGUUUUCCAAUUGAAGAUUCUCCUGAAUCAAAAUAAUCGAAAUUUAGGGCUUAGGGUUUGCAAAAAUUCACCGUAAGCUCCG
rnacentral:misc_RNA from 1 species